rnacentral:lncRNA from 1 species
GUGAGAUCCCUUGAGACCUCCACCUCUGGUUCUUUAAAAACCUCACUUGGAUCUGACACGAGCUUCCAUAACACAGGAACCCAGAAAUCCGAAUGGACUUUCUCCAUAGGAAAUCACCCUUACCAAAAGAAACACCUUAGCAAUACCCAACCUUCUCCUGAAACUCAACACGCUUCCAAAGCGCUACUCUGAUCCUUACUCUUU